rnacentral:misc_RNA from 1 species
AAUAUAAUGAAUAUUUUGUGUUUCUGCAUCCCAACAGCAAGGCUCUACUGUUUUGACUAAAGUCAAAAGUGUUUCAUGUGUGUUGAAAAAUGUGUUUCAUGUUUUGAAAUAUUAUGUCACUAUCGAAUUAUGUUAGUGGGCUUUCAGUAGAAGCCAAAAAAAAAUACAUUGAUAAAUUGGAUAUUCUUCAGUGUGAUUGCCCUUACAGUUUAUCUAAAGAUUUGUGGAAACAAGGACUUCACUGUUGCACAAUUAUUCCCAAAAUAGAUCAUGGGGAUAUAUUUGCCUACUUAGUUUUCUCCAGAAGUAAUUUAGAUGUUGAGAAAACAAAGAAAGCCUACAAAGGUCUCAAAGCUGAGUCAAAACAAGCAGUGAACGAUGGGUGGCUGAAACAAUUUAUGGCAAUGUGUUUGUCAUCAGGCGUGGUUUUAGUUCAAGCUAAGGUAACUCCAUCUCAAGCUAUCAGCGAUACUCCUCACUCACCAUGGGCUGCAAUUGGUGUUGAUGGUUGUGUAAUAUACGCUCAUUGUACCUGUGCUGUAGGGUAAUACUUAAAGUAUUAACAAGAAAAUACUUAAUACUUCAUGAAAUAUGUCAGUGUAUAUUCAGUCGAAAUUCAUGAGGGUAAAGGACGUACCGAGGAUAAGUGUACUUGGGCAGAUCUUUCUUCGCAGCCAGUAAUAUCAAUAACAAAAAAGUUUUUAUCUAUCAAAUUAAU